GACGAACGCUGGCGGCGCGCCUAACACAUGCAAGUCGAACGAGAGAUGAGGAGCUUGCUCUUCAGAUCGAGUGGCGAACGGGUGAGUAACGCGUGAGGAACCUGCCUCAAAGAGGGGGACAACAGUUGGAAACGACUGCUAAUACCGCAUAAGCGCACGGUAUCGCAUGAUACAGUGUGAAAAACUCCGGUGGUAUAAGAUGGACCCGCGUCUGAUUAGCUUGUUGGUGAGGUAACGGCCCACCAAGGCGACGAUCAGUAGCCGGCCUGAGAGGGUGAACGGCCACAUUGGGACUGAGACACGGCCCAAAACUCCUACGGGAGGCAGCAGUGGGGAAUAUUGCACAAUGGGGGAAACCCUGAUGCAGCGACGCCGCGUGAGUGAUGAAGUAUUUCGGUAUGUAAAACUCUAUCAGCAGGGAAGAUAAUGACGGUACCUGACUAAGAAGCACCGGCUAAAUACGUG
rnacentral:rRNA from 1 species